UACCCUUGAAAUCCAGCGAAGUUCCUAGAGAUAGGAAUGUGCCUUCGGGAACGCUGUGAC
rnacentral:rRNA from 1 species